GGGGGGGGGGGGGCUGGUGUGGCCUGGCCCCUCAGCUGAAGCUCCGGAGGACGUAGCUGCGGUCCGCGGAGGCGAGGGAGGGAGGGAGAGACAACGAGAGGGAGGAAGAAGCGAGGCAGGAGCAGGCGGACGGCGUGUGUGGUGGUGGCGUGUGUUUUGUUUCGGGGAUUUGGUGCCUUGCUGUUUUCAGAUUUUUAUUUCGCGAG
rnacentral:lncRNA from 1 species